rnacentral:snRNA from 1 species
UUGCUUCAGCAGCACAUAUACUAGAAUUGGAAUGAUACAGAGAUUAGCAUGGCCCCUGGACAAGGAUUACACACAAAUUUUUGAAGUGUUCCAUAUUUUC